GGGAGGAGCUAAAGGAGUGAGAAUCAGGCAGAUCAAGUACAUGCUUCUUGAGCACAAUUCAACUGAAAUACACAGAGAAGUAGCCAUCUGCUGCCUUAUCACAUACCUUGGAGAGAAGGAAGAGGACCUUUUCAUGGAGUUUGGUGACAAUUUAAGGCCAACCUUGAAAGGCAGGUGAUGAAAACUGCCAUCAUCGGUGACCGGU